AGAGUUUGAUUCUGGCUCAGAACGAACGCUGGCGGCGUGGAUAAGACAUGCAAGUCGAACGAGAGAAUUGCUAGCUUGCUAAUAAUUCUCUAGUGGCGCACGGGUGAGUAACACGUGAGUAACCUGCCCCCGAGAGCGGGAUAGCCCUGGGAAACUGGGAUUAAUACCGCAUAGUAUCGAAAGAUUAAAGCAGCAAUGCGCUUGGGGAUGGGCUCGCGGCCUAUUAGUUAGUUGGUGAGGUAACGGCUCACCAAGGCGAUGACGGGUAGCCGGUCUGAGAGGAUGUCCGGCCACACUGGAACUGAGACACGGUCCAGACACCUACGGGUGGCAGCAGUCGAGAAUCAUUCACAAUGGGGGAAACCCUGAUGGUGCGACGCCGCGUGGGGGAAUGAAGGUCUUCGGAUUGUAAACCCCUGUCAUGUGGGAGCAAAUUAAAAAGAUAGUACCACAAGAGGAAGAGACGGCUAACUCUGUGCCAGCAGCCGCGGUAAUACAGAGGUCUCAAGCGUUGUUCGGAAUCACUGGGCGUAAAGCGUGCGUAGGCUGUUUCGUAAGUCGUGUGUGAAAGGCGCGGGCUCAACCCGCGGACGGCACAUGAUACUGCGAGACUAGAGUAAUGGAGGGGGAACCGGAAUUCUCGGUGUAGCAGUGAAAUGCGUAGAUAUCGAGAGGAACACUCGUGGCGAAGGCGGGUUCCUGGACAUUAACUGACGCUGAGGCACGAAGGCCAGGGGAGCGAAAGGGAUUAGAUACCCCUGUAGUCCUGGCAGUAAACGGUGCACGCUUGGUGUGCGGGGAAUCGACCCCCUGCGUGCCGGAGCUAACGCGUUAAGCGUGCCGCCUGGGGAGUACGGUCGCAAGAUUAAAACUCAAAGAAAUUGACGGGGACCCGCACAAGCGGUGGAGUAUGUGGCUUAAUUCGAUGCAACGCGAAGAACCUUACCUGGGCUUGACAUGUAAUGAACAACAUGUGAAAGCAUGCGACUCUUCGGAGGCGUUACACAGGUGCUGCAUGGCCGUCGUCAGCUCGUGUCGUGAGAUGUUUGGUUAAGUCCAGCAACGAGCGCAACCCCUGUUGCCAGUUACCAGCACGUGAAGGUGGGGACUCUGGCGAGACUGCCCAGAUCAACUGGGAGGAAGGUGGGGACGACGUCAGGUCAGUAUGGCCCUUAUGCCCAGGGCUGCACACGUACUACAAUGCCCAGUACAGAGGGGGCCGAAGCCGCGAGGCGGAGGAAAUCCUGAAAACUGGGCCCAGUUCGGACUGUAGGCUGCAACCCGCCUACACGAAGCCGGAAUCGCUAGUAAUGGCGCAUCAGCUACGGCGCCGUGAAUACGUUCCCGGGUCUUGUACACACCGCCCGUCACAUCAUGGAAGCCGGUCGCACCCGAAGUAUCUGAAGCCAACCGCAAGGAGGCAGGGUCCUAAGGUGAGACUGGUAACUGGGAUGAAGUCGUAACAAGGUAGCCGUAGGGGAACCUGCGG
rnacentral:rRNA from 4 species